CAAAUUUCUGCCCUAUCAACUUUCGAUGGUAGGAUAGUGGCCUACCAUGGUUUUGACGGGUAACGGGGAAUUAGGGUUCUAUUCCGGAGAGGGAGCCUGAGAAACGGCUACCACAUCCAAGGAAGGCAGCAGGCGCGCAAAUUACCCAAUCCCAAUACGGGGAGGUAGUGACAAUAAAUACUGAUACAGGGCUCUUUUGGGUCUUGUAAUUGGAAUGAGAACAAUUUAAAUCCCUUAACGAGGAACAAUUGGAGGGCAAGUCUGGUGCCAGCAGCCGCGGUAAUUCCAGCUCCAAUAGCGUAUAUUAAAGUUGUUGCAGUUAAAAAGCUCGUAGUUGAACCUUGGGCCUGGCUGGCCGGUCCGCUCACCGCGUGCACUUGGUCCGGCCGGGCCUUUCCUUCUGGGGAGCCGCAUGCCCUUUCACUGGGUGUGUCGGGGGAACCAGGACUUUUACUUUGGACAAAUUAGAGUGUUCAAAGCAGGCCUAUGCUCGAAUACCUUAGGCAUGGAAUACUACGAAUAGGACGUGUGGGUC
rnacentral:rRNA from 1 species